rnacentral:lncRNA from 1 species
CCCGGUCCAAGCCACACAGGAAGCCCACACUGGCUUCUGAGCAGGAGUGUAACAAAAGCCAGAUGACACUGGAAAGACACGUUGGCUGCGUGGUGACCACAGAGGACAGGGUGAGGACGGUGGCAAUGGCAGCCACACAGCAGAGCACCUGGGGUGAGACUGGACCGAGCCAGGAAGAGGCAGGGACUGGCUCUGAAGGCCGAGGGAGGGUUCACAGGAGGGUGGGGAGUGGGCAGGAAGCUGACAUCCAUGGUGACGCAGGGUGGGGCAGGUGGGAGAAAGGUGAAAGAAGAACAGAAGGUCACUUUGGGAUGUAAGUUUGAGACCUUGCUGCUAAGUGAGGCCAAAAAAUUAAAAGAUUUUUAAAAUCUGCUGGUAGCUGGAGAAGGACCCGAGACGUGCAGAUGGGAGUUGUGGCAGUAGUGGCCAUCUUGAGGGACAGACACCGGGAGAAAACGAGUGAUGCGUGCAAGGAGGGGCAUCGCUGAGCCCACACAAGACUCAAGAUGGAUGAGACAGAGGCGGCCUCAGGUGCCUGCAGGUGGAGAGAGAAGCACUGGGAAGCCUGAAGGAGCAUGAGAAAGACUGUUGCUGUAAGACACGGCGCUAUCUAUGGCCUGAAUAUUUGUUAUCUGUUGAAAUCCUAACCCCGAAGGUGAUGGUAUGAGGAGGUGAGGACUUUGGGAUGGGAUGACUGCUCUCAUAAAGGAGGCUAGAGAAAGGCUCCUGGCCCUUUCCAGCAGGCGAGGACACAGAUGCCAUCUUGAACCAGGAAGUGGCCACACCAGACACGGAAUCUGCCAGCACCUGGUUCCUG